rnacentral:tRNA from 1 species
GGCCCCUUCGUCUAUCGGUUAGGACGUUAGGUUUUCAUCCUAGAAAGAGCGGUUCGAUUCCGCUAGGGGCUA